UUUAAAACGAGCGUCCGAUCUUAUAAAGCAAAAUGAACAACUUUUAGAAGAAAAUCAGAAUUUACGAGAAAUAAAUGAGUGUAUGACUGCUCGUCACUUGCGCAAUAAGUUUUCCGAUUAUCAGUUAUUUGAAGACGGUAUCUACCAAGAAACGACAUUGAACAAGGAAAUUAUAAAUGUAAAAAAUAAAAGUGCCACAACAGAAAUAACUUCAAACGCGUCCUAUAGCCCUACUACAUGCUGGACAGUUUGGUUGGAAGAUAAGGACUGUAAAUUUUGCUUAAAUUGUGGCCAAAAAUUUAAUUUAUUUUUUCGUAGG